UACGAAGGGGGCUAGCGUUGUUCGGAAUCACUGGGCGUAAAGCGCACGUAGGCGGAUUGUUAAGUCGGGGGUGAAAUCCUGAGGCUCAACCUCAGAACUGUCUUCGAUACUGGCAAUCUCGAGUCCGGAAGAGGUUGGUGGAACAGCUAGUGUAGAGGUGAAAUUCGUAGAUAUUAGCUAGAACACCAGUGGCGAAGGCGGCCAACUGGUCCGGAACUGACGCUGAGGUGCGAAAGCGUGGGGAGCAAACAGGG
rnacentral:rRNA from 1 species